rnacentral:rRNA from 1 species
GUAAGGGCAUCUGGUGAAUGCCUUGGCAUGUACAGGCGAUGAAGGACGUGGCACGCUGCGAUAAGCGUGGGGGAGCUGUGAGCAAGCUUUGAUCCCGCGAUUUCCGAAUGGGACAACCCACCUUCACCAUUUAAUUUCGACUGCCCUUUUGGACAUUCGGAGUUAAAUGGGAGAGGUAUCACCUUAGUGAAUAAAAUAGCUUUGGUGAGGCGAACCCGGAGAACUGAAACAUCUCAGUACCCGGAGGAAAAGACAUCAACCGAGAUUCCGUUAGUAGUGGCGAGCGAACGCGGACCAGGCCAGUGCCUCUUUCUAAAUUAGCAGAACACUCUGGAAAGUGUGGCCAUAGCGGGUGACAGCCCCGUAUGCGAAAAUGAGGAAAGAGGACUUGAGUAGGGCGGGGCACGUGAAACCCUGUCUGAACAUGGGGGGACCACCCUCCAAGCCUAAAUACUCGUACAUGACCGAUAGCGAACCAGUACCGUGAGGGAAAGGUGAAAAGCACCCCGAUGAGGGGAGUGAAACAGUACCUGAAACCGGAUGCCUACAAGCAGUGGGAGGGUCCUUGAGACCUGACCGCGUACCUCUUGCAUAAUGGGUCUGUGACUUAGUGUAUCGAGCAAGCUUAAGCCGUUAGGUGUAGGCGCAGCGAAAGCGAGUCUGAACAGGGCGAUUGAGUUCGAUGCAUUAGACCCGAAACCCGGCGAUCUAGGCAUGACCAGGCUGAAGGUGCGGUAACACGCACUGGAGGGCCGAACCGUUUAAUGUUGAAAAAUUAUCGGAUGAGUUGUGUUUAGGGGUGAAAGGCCAAUCAAGCCGGGAAAUAGCUGGUUCUCCGCGAAAUCUAUUGAGGUAGAGCGUCGGAUGAUUGCCGUUGGGGGUAGAGCACUGGAUGGUUGCGGGGGUCGCGAGAUCUACCAAUACUAACCAAACUCCGAAUACCAACGAGUCUAGUCCGGCAGACAGACGGCGGGUGCUAAGGUCCGUCGUCAAAAGGGAAACAGCCCUAACCUACAGCUAAGGUCCCCAAGUCACGUCUAAGUGGGAAAGCAUGUGGGAUUUCCAAAACAACCAGGAGGUUGGCUUAGAAGCAGCCAUCCUUUAAAGAAAGCGUAACAGCUCACUGGUCUAAACAAGAGAUCCUGCGGCGAAGAUGUAUCGGGGCUCAAGACGUGCACCGAAGCUUAGGGUGUGUACAUUAGUACACGCGGUAGCGGAGCGUUCCGUAGGCCGAUGAAGCCAUCUGGCAAUGGGUGGUGGAGGUAUCGGAAGUGCGAAUGCAGACAUGAGUAGCGAUUAACAGUGUGAGAUGCACUGUCGCCGAAAUUCCAAGGGUUCCUGCUUAAAGCUAAUCUGAGCAGGGUAAGCCGGCCCCUAAGACGAGCCCGAAGGGGGUAGUCGAUGGGAACCACGUUAAUAUUCGUGGGCCUGGAGGUGUGUGACGGAUGGCGUAAAUGGUCUGGCCUGAUCGGAUUGGUCCAGGCUGUGAAGUCGUCCCAGGAAAUAGCCCCUCCGUAUAGACCGUACCCUAAACCGACACAGGUGGAAUGGUAGAGUAUACCAAGGCGUUUGAGAGAAGUAUCCUGAAGGAACUCGGCAAAUUGCCUCCGUACCUUCGGAAGAAGGAGGCCCCGCCUAUGGGCAACCACUGGCGGGGGGCACAGGCCAGGGGGUAGCGACUGUUUAGCAAAAACACAGGGCUCUGCUAAGUCGGCUUCAAGACGACGUAUAGGGUCUGACGCCUGCCCGGUGCCGGAAGGUUAAGAGGAGGAGUGCAAGCUCUGAAUUGAAGCCCCGGUAAACGGCGGGCCGUAACUAUAACGGUCCUAAGGUAGCGAAAUUCCUUGUCGGGUAAGUUCCGACCUGCACGAAUGGCGUAACGACUUCCCCACUGUCUCCAGGAUAUGCUCAGCGAAAUUGAAUUCUCCGUGAAGAUGCGGAGUACCCGCGGUUAGACGGAAAGACCCCGUGCACCUUUACUGCAGCUUCAGAGUGGCAUUAGGAAAGAACUGUGUAGCAUAGGUGGGAGGCUUUGAAGCAGGGACGCCAGUUCCUGUGGAGCCAUAGGUGAAAUACCACCCUGUUGUUUUCUGAUGUCUAACCUCGCACCGUUAUCCGGUGCAGGGACCCUCUGUGGCGGGUAGUUUGACUGGGGCGGUCGCCUCCUAAAGAGUAACGGAGGCGCGCGAUGGUGGGCUCAGGCCGGUUGGAAACCGGCUGUUAGAGUGCAAUGGCAUAAGCCCGCCUGACUGCGAGACUGACAAGUCGAGCAGAGACGAAAGUCGGUCAUAGUGAUCCGGUGGUCCCUCGUGGAAGGGCCAUCGCUCAACGGAUAAAAGGUACGCCGGGGAUAACAGGCUGAUGAUUCCCAAGAGCUCAUAUCGACGGAAUCGUUUGGCACCUCGAUGUCGGCUCAUCACAUCCUGGGGCUGGAGCAGGUCCCAAGGGUUUGGCUGUUCGCCAAUUAAAGUGGUACGUGAGCUGGGUUCAGAACGUCGCGAGACAGUUUGGUCCCUAUCUGCCGUGGGCGUCGAAAUUUGAGAGGAGUUGACCCUAGUACGAGAGGACCGGGUUGAACAUGCCUCUGGUGUACCUGUCGUCGUGCCAACGGCGCAGCAGGGUAGCUAUGCAUGGACGGGAUAACCGCUGAAAGCAUCUAAGCGGGAAGCCUCCCUCAAGAUAAGAUUUCAUCGAGCCGUGGAAGACCACCACGUUGAUAGGCCGGAUGUGGAAGUGUGGUAACAUAUGAAGCUAACCGGUCCUAAUUGCUCUG